UACGUAGGUGGCAAGCGUUGUCCGGAAUUACUGGGCGUAAAGGGCUCGUAGGCGGCCAACUAAGUCAGACGUGAAAUCCCCAGGCUCAACCUGGGAACUGCGUCUGAUACUGGAUGGCUUGAAUCCGGGAGAGGGAUGCAGAAUUCCAGGUGUAGCGGUGAAAUGCGUAGAUAUCUGGAGGAAUACCGGUGGCGAAGGCGGCAUCCUGGACCGACACUGACGCUGAGGAGCGAAAGCCAGGGGAGCAAACGGG
rnacentral:rRNA from 1 species